rnacentral:rRNA from 1 species
CCAGACUCCUACGGGAGGCAGCAGUUAGGAAUAUUCGUCAAUGGGGGAAACCCUGAACGAGCAAUGCCGCGUGAAGGAAGACGGUCCUAUGGAUUGUAAACUUCUGUUGUUAAGGAAGAACGACCCAAGUAGGAAAUGACUUGGGAGUGACGGUACUUAUCAAGAAAGCUCCGGCUAACUACGUGCCAGCAGCCGCGGUAAUACGUAGGGGGCAAGCGUUAUCCGGAUUUACUGGGUGUAAAGGGAGCGUAGACGGCAGCGCAAGUCUGAAGUGAAAUGCCGGGGCUUAACCCCGGAACUGCUUUGGAAACUGAGCAGCUAGAGUGCAGGAGAGGUAAGUGGAAUUCCUAGUGUAGCGGUGAAAUGCGUAGAUAUUAGGAGGAACACCAGUGGCGAAGGCGGCUUACUGGACUGUAACUGACGUUGAGGCUCGAAAGCGUGGGGAGCAAACAGGAUUAGAUACCCGAGUAGC